rnacentral:sRNA from 1 species
UUUUAGCCUUGAUGGAAGCGGCAUCCUUUUGUGCCGGGGUUCGGCAUAAAAGAUAUAGCGGACAGCAGGAAUAGCU